ensembl:ncRNA T21C12.12 ncRNA
CACACAAGAAACACCGAAUCUCACGCGCAAAAGUUUCACCCAACGUUGAGCCAUCCAUUUCUGUAUAUAACUUUUCUCCCGCCU